CAAAGAACCAACAGCUUCCUGCUUCCGACAUUCACUCUCCCGCCAGUCCCAGGCUCCUGGGGGGCCCUCACCAGGCCUCACCUUUUGGUGGCUCUAGCUCUUUGACACCAAAAGCCUACCUCAUUUCACCCGACAGGCUCCCGCCCCCGACCCGGUACAGUUCUCCAGCCGGCUCAUCUUCCAUGCGUCAGGUCCUGAAAAGAGGCCCGACCCCGCUCUGGCAGCGCUGGGGUGUCCUCAGUCCACGCUGGCAAGCUCAAAGGCACGAACCGCCGGCCCGGCGGCUCUGCAGGCUGGACGUCCGGAAGCACGAAGGUGUGCACACGUAAAGAGGGACUCGGGCCGGCGGGAAGCCCUCCCUCCGGCCGUCACGCAAACCCCACGGGCUACCAGGAGCGAGCUCAGCGGGGUACUGCGCACCCCACACUUCCGCCAAUCGGCC
rnacentral:lncRNA from 1 species